CACGUAGGGGGCAAGCGUUGUCCGGAAUCAUUGGGCGUAAAGAGCGUGUAGGCGGCCAGAUAAGUCCGCUGUGAAAUCUCGAGGCUCAACUUCGAGCUGUCGGUGGAAACUGUCUGGCUAGAGUCCGGAAGAGGAGAAUGGAAUUCCUGGUGUAGCGGUGAAAUGCGCAGAUAUCAGGAGGAACACCAAUGGCGAAGGCAGCUCGCUGGGACGUGACUGACGCUGAGACGCGAAAGCGUGGGGAGCAAACAGG
rnacentral:rRNA from 1 species